GACGAACGCUGGCGGCGUGCCUAAUACAUGCAAGUCGAAAGCAGUGGGGACGGGUGAGUAACACGUGGGUAACCUCCCAUCAGAGGGGAUAACACUUGGAAACAGGUGCUAAACCGAUACUGAUGGAUGGACCCGCGGUGCAUUAGCUAGUUGGUGAGGUAAAGGCUAACCAAGGCCACGAUGCAUAGCCGACCUGAGAGGGUGAUCGGCCACAGUGGAACUGAGACACGGCCCAGACUCCUACGGGAGGCAGCAGUAGGGAAUCUUCGGCAAUGGACGAAAGUCUGACCGAGCAACGCCGCGUGAGUGACGAAGUUUUUCGGAUCGUAAAACUCUGUUGUUAGAGAAGCGGUAUCUAACCAGAAAGUCACAGCUAACUGCGUGCCAGCAGCCGCGGUAAUAC
rnacentral:rRNA from 1 species